GAGGCAUAUGCUCAUAGAGUUUAUAUCCAUAAAUGACACAACAUAUAUUAUUAUAUCUCAAUCAUGGCAGUACAUGAAGCAGGCAUCAACAUGGCAUCCACCAUGAUAUCUUUUAUUGGAGCAACGAAAGAAAAUACACACAAGCACAUAAACAAACUGACACGCUGGUUUGGAUACUCUCGAUGGGAUCCUGUUUUAUUGAACUCGAUGGUGAGACAUAACUUUGGCCUGUGAAAUCUCAGACCAAGCAUAUGCAUUAUUAGUCAUCAAGGGAUGCCAAGAGAGUAUCCCCCUUACAGAAACUGUCACAAGCAUCACCGCAGCGUUUCACAUAGAGCUUCAUCUCUUCAGUGUUGUCAGCUGGUGCCAAAACAGGAUAGUAUGCGUCAAGAACUAACUUUUCAAUUAGUUUACAUGUACAAAUGAAACAUAAAUAUACUCAGAUGGAUUCUAUUUACCUGUGCUGAUCACGUUGUCACACACAGAAGACCUGCAUCCCAAGCUGCAAUACUCAAUGGCGUUUGGUUCAUCUGCCAAAACGAAGUAGAUCUGAGAUAAACAAUUCCUCGGUUACAAUAUGUCGAUGUUUUGUGUAUUGGGAUGGCCUCUAUCAUUCAUUCUCUAUUAGCUAUUUUCACAAUAAUUUUUGGUAGAUGUUUGUUAGCAUUAUGAAAAAUCAUUCAUGUCAAAUCUUAUCAUACAAAACAUCAGCUAACAAAUUCAGAACAGUUUAUUACAGUAUAUUAAUAGGUAAACUUGGAAUUUUGUUAAUUUGACAUUACACAUUUUUAGGAUCACAUCUACUUUGAAAAGGAGAAAGUAUAUAAAUUAGAAGUAGCGAGUUGUCUGUCUUUACCGGAGCUGCGUAGAGAGGCCAAGCCCGCGGGGAGUCGACAAGCACAGAAGUCUGCGCACUGGAACACUGUACUAGGACCGAGAAGGCAAGAAUUGAAGCAGGCCACUUUGAAGGGGUUUGCGCCGCAGUCCACGCCCUCUACUUGCACCUGCUCCAGGACCAGCCCCAGCACGAGUAGGCACACGAUCGCACUCUCCAGACCCUUUUUGCCUCCUCCCAUGGCUAUGGCUGCCGGGCUCUCUUGCAGAAGGCACGAGUACUAAUGGGGGCUUUUGGUUGAAGGACUGAUGAGAUUAGAGUGAGCUCGAUGGGCUCCUGGUAUCGAUUUUUAUACUAGGAGAUGAUGGCCGUGGGAGUGUCUAGAUGAGUACUGGUUGUUGCACGUGAAAAACCAAAGCGCACCGGGGCCAUAGUUUCUUUUCUUCUCCCACACGGGGCAAAAAGUUGGAUCGAUGGCGCGCGGACAAAGUUGGCCGGAGCCGACGACGACGACGGUGACGGUGUUGUGACCUGCACGAAGCUAUCCAGUAGGAUGUUACAUGCAAGCCGGCGAGUUUUUUUUUACUACAUUUCUAUAAAAAUAUACUCGUAUAUACGAUGAAAUGCGUUUUUGACGUGAGCUACACAAACAAAAUAAAGUAAUGUAUUUUGGCACAAGCACAUUUUGUUUAGAUUUUCUUUUGAAACUUUAAAAAUCCGAUUUCACUCUAGCAGGUCCUAUUUUGUUGCAGCAUGCAACUAUGGGGCGGGGUUUGGACAAAAUACAAUUUUUGUCAAAAUGACAUGUGUGCCUGGGAAUAGAGGGGGAGUGCCCGAAAGUGCCUUUCUGCUCCCGAGCUCAUUUGAGCUCGGUGAACAGUAAAAUCGAAAAAAAAAUUCAAAAAAUUCCAUUUUUUUUGUGAGAAGCAUUGACAAAAGUUCUAAGUGCUUGCAAAAAUUCAUCAUGAAAUCACAUUCCUGUAAGGCGUGGCAAAAAAAAAACAAAUUCAGUGCUCCAAAAUGCUUUUGAAAGUAGCAUUUUCAGAGUACCGAUUUUGUUUUUUUUGGCACGCCUUCUAGAAAUGUGAUUUCAUGACGAUUUUUUGCAAACUCUUAAAACUUUUGUCAAUGUUCUCCCAAAAAAAUAUUUGGAUUUUUUUGAACUUUUUUUAUUUAGUUUUGAUUUUACUGUUCACCCGAGCUCAUUUGAGCUCGGGUGCAGAAACUCUGCGUCCGGGAGUGUCGUAUUAUAUGCCAACGAAAUACCUUUUCUUUUUUGUUGGGAACGAUACGUGCAUGCCAGAAAGACAUCUCUUUGCUGUACACAUGUGCAUGACUUUGAGGUUUGAGCUGGCGAUGUAUAUCAAACAACGUGUGACCAAUGUCACCUUGGUUUUUCAUGUGCAAGAUUUGUAGAUUGCUGAUCACGCUUGCCGCGGGAAGUUUUUCGUGUGUAGAUACAUGGCUCUAUAUGACAUCUAAACUAGAGCUUUGUUUUUUCCCCUAUACUACUCCUAUCUUUAACUUUAAGAGAAAAAUAUACUUUUCAUCUCUUAACUCUUGACAAAGUCUAGAUUUAGUCCUUUAACUUUAAAACCAGAUUAGUUGCAUUAUAAACUUUUAAAACCGGUAAUACUAUUUUUUACAAAGAACAAUCCUACCUUGUUUACACGUCCACUGAAUGCACCAUUGUAAAUUACUUUCACUUUUACAAGCAAGGCAGGAGCUCUAUCGAUUUCAUUAAGAGAGAACUAAUUCAGAGUUGACCGGUUUAAAAGAAAAACAAGGCUGAAAACCAACAUGAACCAACACCGACACCAACACAAACAUGCCACCACCACCUUACAUGACCACAAUCUGGAGCGAUAGUAAGCAAGAUUUUCGAUGACGACUUCAAGAAGGAAAAACAAUGCCCGAGAACGCCGUCCUCACCGGCAUCAACCCCCAUCAAUCAAUAAGCUUUCGCAUAGACCCCUGCAUGACCGCCCCGCCAAAAAUUGGGAUAGAUCAAUCCUAGCCAUUAGGUUCCGAUGCCACUCCUCGCCGACCAGUCACAGAUUAGCGUGAAGAAGUACUCUUCGACAAUAUAGGAGGAGGACGCCCAUGGGCACCAACAUCACGGGCAACGACCCCCGACCAAGAACAAGGCUUUCGCCCAGAGUAUUAUGCCUCCCCGCCUCUUAUCCAAGGUAGGGGCCAGGCCCCUGCGAACAUCAACAACGGCGAACCAAACCAAAAGGAAAAAGAAACGCCGCGGCCUCCACAACACCAUGGAGGGCUGCCUGCAUAGGUGUUGGCACCACCACCACCAUUACUACGAGUAGUCUUGAAGCCACAAUGCAGCAACCGCCUCGCCUCCGCGCUGUCGACGAAUGCCAACCUCGCCGCCAACUAACGAUCUAGCCUGCUGCCCGUGCAGCCGCGACCAAAGCACACCAACGACGCCCACCACCAACACCAGUGUGCUACCACUCGCCACGCGCCGCACUGCCGCACCCAUCGCCGCUUCUACGCCGUCCGGUAGAGGAAAAAGUGCAGCUGUGCCGUCACCGACCCCAAGAGGUCACCUCCAAAGACGGAGCAGCAGAUCAGGCGCUGCCCCGAUCUGAGCCCUUUGAGCCGGCGCGCGAGCAACCACCGCCACGCAGCACUGGGGUCUCCCAGACAGAGUUUAUACCCACAGGCAAAUGAUACAACAUACACCAUUAUAUCUCAGUCAUGGUAGUGCAUCAGGGCAGCAACAUGGCAUCCAUCAUGAUGGCUUUUAUUUCGAACAAGGAAUGGACAUACACACACAUAAAACAGGGUGACACACUGGUUUGGAUACUCUCGAUGGGAUCCAAUUUUAUUGAACGCAAAGGUGAGACACGACCUUGCCCUGUGAAAUCUCAGACCAUGGACACGCAUCAGUACGCAUCAAGGGAUGGGAGGCCAGCAUCACCGUUACAGAAACUGACACAAGCAUCAGCACAAUUUU
rnacentral:lncRNA from 1 species